rnacentral:lncRNA from 1 species
AUGCUCAAAAUUCUCCAAAUCAGGCUUCAGCAAUACGUAAACCAUGAACUUCCAGAUGUUCAAGCUGGUUUUAGAAAAGGCAGAGGAACCAGAGAUCAAAUUGCCAACAACCCCUGGAUCAUGGAAAAAGCAAGAGAGUUCCAGAAAAACAUCUAUUUCUGCUUUAUUGACUACGCCAAAGCCUUUGACUGUGUGGAUCACAAUAAACUGUGGAAAAUUCUGAAAGAGAUGGGAAUACCAGACCACCUGACCUGCCUCUUGAGAAACCUAUAUGCAGGUCAGGAAGCAACAGUUAGAACUGGACAUGGAACAACAGACUGGUUCCAAAUAGGAAAAGGAGUACGUCAAGGCUGUAUACUGUCACCCUGCUUAUUUAGCUUAUAUGCAGAGUACAUCAUGAGAAACGCUGGGCUGGAAGAAACACAUGCUGGAAUCAAGAUUGCCAGGAGAAAUAUCAAUAACCUCAGAUAUGCAGAUGACACCACCCUUAUGGCAGAAAGUGAAGAGGAAAUAAAAAGCCUCUUGAUGAAAGUGAAAGAAGAGAGUGAAAAAGUUGGCUUAAAGCUCAACAUUCAGAAAGCUAACAUCAUGGCAUCUGGUCCCAUCACUUCAUGGGAAAUAGAUGGGGAAAGAGUGGAAACAGUGUCAGACUUUAUUUUUGGGGGGUCCAAAAUCACUGCAGAUUGUGACUGCAGCCAUGAAAUUAAAAGACACUUACUCCUUGGAAGAAAAGUUAUGACCAACCUAGAUAGCAUAUUCAAAAGCAGAGAUAUUACUUUGCCAACAAAGGUCCAUCUAGUCAAGGCUAUGGUUUUUCCUGUGGUCAUGUAUGGAUGUGAGAGUUGGACUGUGAAGAAAGCUGAGCGCCAAAGAAUUGAUGCUUUUGAACUGUGGUGUUGGAGAAGACUCUUGAGAGUCCCUUGGACUGCAAGGAGAUCCAACCAGUCCAUCCUAAAGGAGAUCAGACCUGGGUGUUCUUUGGAAGGACUGAUGCUGAAGCUGAAACUCCAACACUUUGGCCACCUCAUGCGAAGAGUUGACUCAUUGGAAAAGACCCUGAUGCUGGGAGGGAUUGGGGGCAGGAGGAGAAGGGGAUGA